rnacentral:lncRNA from 10 species
GUCAGUACCAAGGAUCUCCUAAUUUUCAAGGAGACUCAAGGCAGCAACUUUCUCUCUAACUGACUUCUUCCAGCCAAGCGGCAACUAAUUAACUCGGCAGUGCCCUCUCAGCCCUGCCUGUAUCCAGAGGUGCAUGCCUUUCCCUGCUGCGGUGGGGUUUUAUUUGUUUGUUCAUGUGUUCGGCCAGAGCACCUCCCUGGCAGAUCUCCGGGCUGGGAUGGGCAGCAGGGUUAGUCCCAUCCUCCCAGCGGUCAAGUGCCAGCACCAUCUCCAGCACCUUAUCCUCGUCAUAAGAGUUUUCCUUGGCAGAUGGGAAGACGGACAGAUGAACCUCAAAGUGCCACGUUCUCAUGCUCAUUGGAAAGUCUAGCAGGCAAUGGCCUGGGGCUCCUUCUGCUUUGAUGAGUCCUGGGUAGGUCUUGCUCAUAUUCUGGAACCAGAGAGACCUGCAAAGCAUUUGUCUAUAGCAUCAAGGGUUCAAGUGUUUCUCUUGAUCUAAAGUCAGAGGAAGAACAAAACACUACUCUGCAAGUAACUCCAAAUAACGUUGAAACUGUUUGCUCCUCACAAUCAAUAUCUGACCUCAGGAAGAAUUAUCCUGAAGCACUUUCUAGAUUCUACCCAGAAGCUGCCAGAAAGGAUGGUGGAGACGCCAUACAUGUGUGUAUCGGGACCACACACACCUGCAGGAAUGACCUCUGCCCAGGCAGCAGCGUCCAGGGCUGUGGGGAGGCAGCACCAGCUGAGCUCCUCUCAGGCAACCUUCGGGGCACCCUCACAGCAUCCGCUCAACAUACUCAGAUCGUCAGCAUCUGGCAGGUAUGCACCUGGCCACGACAGCAUACAGAGGAGACUUGGACAUGUGAAAAUGGAGAGUGGACGUCAACAUGAAAUUAAACAAGAUCAAGAGUAAAAGGUGAGGAAGAGAAAGAGAAGCCCUCAGGAGCUCUUGGCUGCUGGAGAGGGAAGCACAACACAGGCUGGGUGUCGGAGAAGCGUUGGAAGCCGCAGCCGGCCUGGAGAUGAGGGCAGGAUGUGGAUGAGCUGUGCCCAUGGUGAAAGGGGGGACAGGCUGGAGGGGAAAGAGCAUUUGCAGAAGGCAGAGGCAGGAGCCACUGUGGCUGGGUAGAGAGCAGCCAGGAAGGGGCAGAGAAGCCCCCUCUUAAUGAGAGGCCCUUACGGUUUCUGACACAGAGCACUUCCGCGGAAAUGGUUUUAGGAAAAGGCACCUGAUAGCGUGGGGUGAGAGGGUCUGGAGAUGGGAGACGCCUGGCAGGGUCCUCUGGGAAGACAAGAAAGCAUGUGUCUCACUCUGUUGUCAUCUCCUCAUUUGCAUUGUCCCUCAAGAACUCCUGUGGAUGGAGUCUGGAGACAGAGCUUCCGGCUGAGGCCUCACAGCCCAGACAACCUCUGACUGUCCAGCAGCUGCAAAACGAUGGCGCCCACCAUGGGCACAGAGGAGCCAGGAGACAAACGCGGCCUCCUGAGUUCCCAGGGAAGAGGCAAGAGGGGGUAGUUGUGCGGGAGGCAGGAGCAGUUGGAACUGGGAGGUAUCCCUUUGGAGGGCGUGGGCUGGAGGUUUGAGAUAAUCACUUUUCACACAGGAGGGAUAGGCUGGACCCCAGGCGUGGCUCGCAGGGGGCUGUGUGGGGCCUGGCUUCCAGUUCCUGUCCACCCCAGGCUGGUGGGAGGUGAUCUUUGGGUGAUUAGAGGACUGGAUGCCCUUUUGCUCUGGCCUGGGUUUCCAUCCUUCUGAAAUAAAUUGUUUGCUUUACAGUGGAAGACAUACCCUGUUCCUUUAUUUUUCUAAAGCAAAUCCAAUCCACUCUGAGCCUCCAGUAGGCAAGAAGUCUGAGAUCAUCACACCAUGGGCUCCUUCAUCCCUGCCCUGAGUGGGAUGUGGGCCCUGGUGCUUCCUGCUGCCAGGAUCUGGGGUGGCCUGGACUUUUGUCCUUCUCUUUUAUGGGACCAGCAGCCCAGGGUGAGCCUCCACUGAACUUCCUCCUGCCACUGUAUCCCCCUCUGUCUCUCUCUCUCUCUCUAUCUCCCCCCUCUUCCCUCUCCACCUCCUUCCCUUCCCUUCUCCCCUCCCCUCCCCUCCCUUCCUCUGUCCUCCCCUCCCCUCUCCUCCCCUCCUCUUCCCUUCUCUUCUCUUCCCCCUUCCCUUCCCUCCCCUUCCCCCUCCCCUUCUGUCUGUCUCUCUUCCUCCCUCUCUCUGUCUUGCUGUUUCUCUAUGAGGGCUGCUGCAAAGUCCACUCAGUGAAGUCCGCUCCACAGAUCUCAGGCCAGAGACACCCCUCCAUACACAUACAGAGGGCCCAAGGCAGCCUCUCCACGUGUUAGACAGAAUAACAGCCACUAAAGUUGCCCACACUCUAAUCCCAGAAACCUGUAUAUAUGCUGUUACGUGGCAAUAGGGAGUUUGCAGACAGAAUUAAGGCUAUGAACUUUAAAAUAUGGACAUCAUCCUGGUUUAUCUGCUAGGCCCAUGGUGAUCCUGUAGGUCCUUGGAAAGGACGCCUGCAAUGGACUGAAUGGUGCCCUGUGAUGCAGGAAGGAAAAGGCCGGAGACAGUUGAUAUGACAGUCCCUGUCGUGCUCCACUGGCCUGUCCUUGCCCAGGGGUGACGAGCACUGAGACCCCUUCCCGGGAGUGGAGAGGAGAUCUCAGCAAGUGGUUGCCUCAGAGCAGUGGGCACAGGCACCUAGAAUGUUAGAGAGAAAGGGCACCAGGGUGGGCUGGAUGGCGGCCCCCAGGAGAUCUGUCCACAUCCUAAUCCCAGAAGCUGAGAACAUGACUUCACUUGGGAAAAUGGUAAUGCUAUUAAAUUAAGGAUCUUGAGAUGAUAUCAUCCUGAUUAUCUGGGUGUGAUCCCUAAAUCCAAUGGCACACAGAGAAGAUACACGUAAAAAAGAGAAAGCCAUGUGAGGACGGAGGCGAAGAUUUGAGCGGUGCAGCCACAAGCCAUGGAAUGCCUGGGGCCACCAGAGGCCGGAGGAGGCCGGAAGGACCCUCACCAGCACCUUCCAAGGGAGUAUGGCUCUGCCAAGACCUUCACCUUGUGUUUCUGGCCUCCAGAGCUGCACGGAAAACGAAUUUCUCUGGUUUAAAGCAACCCAGCUUGUGGUAAUUUGUUAUAGGAGCCCCAGGAGACUGAUAGAGGCACAAACAUGUGGCAUCAGAUUCCCUGGGACAGCUUUGAAAUGAAUAUUCUUGGCCCACUGUUAAAUUAGUAAAGUAAGGAUUCAUAAUUUCAUAUAUUUAUUUGUAGAGUUGAGGUCUCACCUUGUUGCCCAGGCUGAAGUGCAGUAGCAUAAUCAUGGCUCAUUGCAGCCUUGAACUCCUGGGCUCCAGUGAUCCUCCCACCUCAGCCUUCCUAGUAGCUAGGACUACAGAUACGCACCACCAUGCCUGGCUAAUUUUUUUGUUUGUUUUGUUUUAUUUGUAGAGGUGGGGUCUAGCUGUGUUGGCCAGGCUGGUCUGGAACUCCUGGCCUCAAGUGAUCCUCCCCGCUCGACCUCCCAAAGUGCUGGGAUUACAGACGUGAACCACUGUGACUGGCCUAGGACUCAUACUUUUUAAAAGCUCCCCAGAGGAUUCUUAUAUAGCCAUUUCAUGGGUCUGUGUUUGAGAAACAUUUUCUAGUUUAAUUUGCUUAUUUUGCAGACAGGAAAACAGAAUCUCACCCCGACCCCCAGCCCAUUAGGAGAGGAGGGCUCUGGCCUCAGGCCUAUCAAUAACUCCUAGCUGGGGGCUCAUUGGUGAGUGGUCAAGAAAUUGCCCAACAGCGUGGUUUCGAGGGGGCCAGCCUCACCUCUCCUGGUCUUGAGAUUUUAGCUGUCCUGAGAAAGCGAAGGCUUUUGACAAGAUGACCCCCCUCCCCUAUUUUCCUUGCUUUUCCUUGCAAUUUUCCCACAAGGAAGUUCCUGGGGGCCGCUCUUGUACCUUUGGAGCUGUGACCGGCUAAGUGUGAAUAUGGGACUGUGGGUGGACUUUGAGACGCCCUGUAGAGGGAGCUUGUGGUGGAGCAAGACAGGGUCCGGAGAGGAACGCAGAUCAGAAACCGUUUCCACACUGGGUCCAUCCACUGCUGAAGCUGGAGCCAACCUAUGCCUUAGAGGUUCCGAUUCCAUGGGGCAGCAGAGUUCUUCUUUGUGCUCAGGCUCACUCAACUUCUGCCUUCCCUUAAUUUAUGUGAUCUUCCUUAGCUGGGAUUCAGCCUGAAAGAUCCAUGAUGCAACUGUAUUUCCAGAGAGAUCUGGGGAGGACAGAGAGCAUCAUCCACUCCACCUUCUUCGUUAGAAUAACGUAAUAGGCUCACAAAAUCCUCAGAACAGCAAGGAGAGACUCAUGCAACUCGAAUGUCUCCACCUUGGCCCUGCUCUCCCUAAGGCAGAAGAAGGACCUCAGAUCCCUGGAUGGGAUCGGCCAUGGAGCCCUGAGAAGCUGUGUUACUGUUGGUGCUAUGAGUCCUCUGUCAAUAUUACUAAUAUCAUUUAGUUAAAUUAAAUCUACUCUUCAACUAUUUUGUAAGAAAUCAAUACUGGCAUGUGCAUCUCUCUUUGUCCCAUCUUAUUCUUUUUUGUUUGGUUGCAUUUUAAUGGUUCUGUAUAUUCAGAAAGGAAAUAAAAAAUGAAAGCUG